rnacentral:sRNA from 1 species
GCCGGGCGUGGUGGCGCAUGCCUGUAAUUCCAGCUUCGCGGGGGACUGAGACAGGAGAAUCACUUGAACCUGGGAGGCAGAGGUUGCAGUGAGCCGAGAUUGCGCCACUGCACUUCAGCCUGGGCAACAAGAGUGAAACUCCAUCUCAAGAAAAACAAACAAAAAAAACCCUUUUUUUUCUCUUUUUUUGAGACGGAGUCUUGCUCUGUCACCCAGGCUGGAGAGCAGUGGCACGAUCUUGGCUCACUGUAACCUCUGCCUCCCGGGUUCAAGUGAUUCUCUUGCCUCAG